UCUCAAUGUCACUUUAUAAACCUGGGAGGGUGUGAACUAGACCAGAAAGGAAAGUGAGGGAGAAGGGGUGCAGAGAGGAGAGUGGGGUGCCUGGGCUGCCCUGAAGUCCUUUGGGAGAAAAGUGGGUAAUGAGGAUUUUAGAGAAGCUUUCUCUAGAUUGUACAGUAUGAUUUUCCUCUCAUUACUGCCCAUCAGGAAAACCUUCCGUUAUGAUCAACAUUUCUCUUUAAGGCUGUGGGAUUUUAAAACAUACCUGCAAGGUCUUCGACAUUUCACCCAUCAAAAGGUGGAGUCUAAUUCCCUCACCCUUGAAUGUGGGCUUGCUUCAAGUAGAAAGCAGCAGAAAUGAUUCAGCACAACUUCAGAGGCUAGGUCAUAAGAGGUGAUAUGGCUUCCAGCUGGUGCACUCUCUCAUUUUCUCAUUCUCUCUCUCUCUCAUUUCUCUGUCUCUCUAUCUCUCUCUGUCUCUCUCUCUCUCUCUCUCUCAUUUCUCUCUCUCUCUCUCUCUCUCAUUUCUCUUUCUAUCUCUCUGUCUCUCUCUCUCUCUCAUUUUUCUCUCUCUCUCUCUCUCCCCCCUGGCUCUUAGAACCCAGCCAAGGGUGUUGUGAAGAAGCCAGAGAGUCAUCCAGGAAAACCAUACAUCAAUGUCAUUGGUGCUCCAGGCACAGCCCAGCUCAACUGAGGUCCCCAAUGACGCCAUCAUUAACCACCAGACUUGGGAGUGAAUGAAGCUUCAGAUGGUUCCAGCCCCCAACUUUCAAGCACACCCAGUGAUGCUGAGUGCAGCUGAUACAAGCUGUCCCCAACAAGCCCUGCCCAAGUUACAGAUUUGUGAGCAAACAGAGCAUCUUAAGGGCCAUGGCUGUUGUAAAGCAGUGGCACCUCCCCAGCACCAAAGCAUGGCCAGGAUGGGCUUUGAAUAGACAGAAAGUCAUGUUGCUCAAGAGGACAGAUGGAGUCUCUCUGUCACCCAGGCUGGAGUGCAGUGGUGCGAACCUGGCUCACCACAACCUCUGCCUCCCAGAUUCAGGCAAUUCUCCUGCCUCAGCCUCUGCAGUAUCUGGGACACAGGCAUGUGCCACCACGCCUGGCUAAUUUUUCUAAUUUUAGUAGAGACGGGGUUUCACCAUGUUGGUCAGGCUGGUCUCAAACUCCUGACCUCAUGAUCCUCCCACCUUGGCCUUCCAAAGUGCUGGGAUUACAGGCGUGAGCCACCGUGUCCGGCAGUAAUCUCUUCUGUAUCAGUUCUUUAUGGCUUCUUUCCCUUUCCUGCCUCAAAUCCUCACUCCCUUGCUCCUGUAGUGUUUCCUGAGUUAUCCCCAAAUACUUUCCUUGCACUCAAAUCUUUGACUCAGAGUCUGUUUCUGGGGAAUCCAAACUAAUAAGACAGGUGGAGAUUUACAGAUCCCCAAACCAGCCUUCCCAGCAGAUCUCAAUGUAGGAUAUGCCCAGAGAGGCCCAAAUAUGCGGAGGGUAAGGAGGGCGGACAAAGCAGUGAGGAGAAGCAGCAGAGCGGCCACUGUGGUGCAAUCGAUCAGGAGGGAGGAGGAAACUCUGGAGUUUGACAGGACACAGGAUGCGGGGCCCUGGGCUGGCUCUGAGCUCACCAGGGGCUUCUAUGUCCUGACAGUGGAGGCUUCCUCACUUCCAUGCACCCUGGUGACAGACCCAUCUCCUGAGUGUCAGGCCUCUGAGCCCAAGCUAAGCCAUCGUAUCCCCAGUGACCUGCAUGUAUACAUCCAGAUGACCUGAAGCAACUGAAGAUCCACAGAAGUGAAAAUAGCCUUAACUGAUGACAUUCCACCAUUGUGAUUUGUUACUGCCCCACCCUAACUGAUCACUGUACUCUGUAAUCUCCCCGACCCUUAAGAAGGUUCUUUGUAAUUCUCCCCACCCUUGAGAAUGUACUUUGUGAGAUCCACCCUCUGCCUGCAAACCAUUGCUCCAAACUCCACCACCUAUCCCAAAACCUCUAAGAACUAAUGAUAAUCCACCACCCUUUGCUGACUCCUUUUUCGGACUCAGCCCGCCUGCACCCAGGUGAAAUAAAUGGCCAUGUUGCUAAC
rnacentral:lncRNA from 1 species